rnacentral:rRNA from 1 species
UACGUAGGGGGGCGAGCGUUGUCCGGAGUUACUGGGCGUAAAGGGCAUGCAGGCGGUCAGACGCGUUUUUGUGUGACAGCGGAGGGCUUCACUCUCCGAGCAUACGAAAGACGGUGUGACUUGAGGGCUCGAGAGGGACACGGAAUUCCGGGUGGAGUGGUGAAAUGCGUAGAGAUCCGGGAGGAACACCGAAGGCGAAGGCAGUGUCCUGGCGAGUAUCCUGACGCUGAGGUGCGAAAGCCAGGGGGAGCGAACGGG